rnacentral:lncRNA from 1 species
CAACGGGCUUUGAGUCAUUUGCUACUCCUUAUUCUUCCUUUUGAAUAAUGCCUAAUCGAAGGGCUUAAUAUUAAUAGCGCCAGUUGGCCUAUGCGACUACUUAUGACCUGCCUUAGGGCGAAAUAGAAUGAAAUUACUGAAAAGCCUUCUCUUGGCUAAGAUUAUUUGCCUAGUGCGGACUAAUUACUAUAUAUUAUAAGUAAGCCAUUAGUGAUUUAGCAAGAAAUGCUUUCUUUUCACACCCGCUUCGCCUUCAGAUGUUGAAUUGGCCCGGGGAUACACAACAGCCCCUUACUCAAUAAGCCCUCGCUUAGACUUAGCAACGAGAGCAGGUAAAGAUGAUUGCUUCACUGAAUAGUUCAUAGAAAGAUAGUUCAAAAGCACUCCCGCCUAGACCUUCGUUCGCGGAGAAAGACCCGAUCUUCCUGCUAAUAUGGUAAAGCAUCUUUCUUUCUCUGGUUGCGCCUCUCUUUGUUGUGCUUCUUUAGUUCACAACUGCGCUUCUUUAACGGAUAGGCUUUCCAGGUUCUUAACAAUAAAUUACUGGAAACGUCGUAUUUCAUCUGCUCACGCCCGUGUAUUUGAGUUGUUCUUUCAGAAAUGAGUCUAUUGCUUCGAUUAGGCUUGCUCUUGUAUUAAAACCACUAACUCUUUCGAGAUCACUAAAGUACUUUUCUCGGCCUCAGCAUCAGUAUCCCCAUCCGCCCUUAGUCAGCUAACCAAGAAUCAAAGGAAUUUGCCCUUUCAUCCGGAUUUCCCUUCUGAGAUUGGUUUUCCCUCCCUGACUCUGGGCUGGAUCGAUAUCUUGGUCCAUGGGCCCAUUCUCAAUUAGUCUUCCUGGACUAUGUUUCUUACCCACCCCUGCUAGCAUAAAAACAAGAGCUUUUCGGGCAGCGAGUCACAUGUUGGAAUGUCAGGAUGUGGAAUUUAGUUAUUGAGAUUAGAUUAGUGAUUAGUCACACCUACCGUAACCUAUAUUGGUAAGGUUAAGCAGCUGACUUCGCCCCAAAGAUGAGACUAGGAG